CCUACGGGUGGCAGCAGUGGGGAAUAUUGGGCAAUGGGCGCAAGCCUGACCCAGCAACGCCGCGUGAAGGAAGAAGGCUCUCGGGUUGUAAACUUCUUUUAAGGGGGAAGAGAAGAAGACGGUACCCCUUGAAUAAGCCACGGCUAACUACGUGCCAGCAGCCGCGGUAAUACGUAGGUGGCAAGCGUUGUCCGGAUUUACUGGGUGUAAAGGGCGUGCAGCCGGGGAGACAAGUCAGAUGUGAAAUCCACGGGCUCAACCCGUGAACUGCAUUUGAAACUGGUUCCCUUGAGUGUCGGAGAGGUAAUCGGAAUUCCUGGUGUAGCGGUGAAAUGCGUAGAUAUAAGGAAGAACACCAGUGGCGAAGGCGGAUUACUGGACGAUAACUGACGGUGAGGCGCGAAAGCGUGGGGAGCAAACAGGAUUAGAUACCCUUGUAGUC
rnacentral:rRNA from 1 species